rfam:Oryza sativa (indica cultivar-group) chromosome 2, whole genome shotgun sequence.
UAUAAGUGUAGUUGUUAGUUUCCGUGUCUAGCGUUUGACCUUCCGUCUUAUUUGAAAAAUAUUUAUGAUUAGAAUUUUAUUGUUACUACAUGAUAAAACAUGAAUCGUACUUAUGUGUGACUAUUUCUUUUAUUUUUUUAUAUUUUUAAAAAUAAAACGAACAGCCAAAUACUCCAUCCGUCCCAAAAUAUAGCUAUUUCUAGC